rnacentral:lncRNA from 1 species
UUCCUUGAGUGAUCAAGCCUCCCAAAGAAUAUGUGUCCAUUGUGGAUAUAGCCUGGACGAGUAAUCCGAUUGGGGUCUGAAUUUAGCUUGGACUGGUAAAUUAGAUCCAAGCUUAUUAAGGGUGUUUGUUGCUAUAAGGUAUUUAGCCUGGACUGGCAAUCCCGACAUCACCCUAUGAGUUUACAUUACGGGGGAUUUAGCCUGGACUGGUAAUCUCACCGUAUGAUGUGAGGUUCACGGGAG